AGCAGCCGCGGUAAUUCCAGCUCCAAUAGCGUAUAUUAAAGUUGUUGCAGUUAAAAAGCUCGUAGUUGAAUUUCGGGGUUAGUAGGUUGGUCAUGCCUCUGGUAUGUACUGAUCUCACUGAUUCCUCCCUCUUGACGAACUGUAAUGUCAUUAAUUUGGUGUUGCAGGAAAUCAGGACUGUUACUUUGAAGAAAUUAGAGUGUUUAAAGCAGGCUUAGGCUUGAAUACAUUAGCAUGGAAUAAUGAAAUAGGACGUUUGAACCUAUUUUGUUGGUUUCUAGGAUCGACGUAAUGAUUAAUAGGGAUAGUUGGGGGCAUUAGUAUUCAAUUGUCAGAGGUGAAAUUCUUGGAUUUAUUGAAGACUAACUACUGCGAAAGCAUUUGCCAAGGAUGUUUUCAUUAAUCAAGAACGAAAGUUAGGGGAUCGAAGACGAUCAGAUACCGUCGUAGUCUUAACCAUAAACUAUGCCGACUAGGGAUCGGAUGAUGUUAAUUUUAAUGA
rnacentral:rRNA from 1 species